rnacentral:misc_RNA from 1 species
GAUGAAGAACGUAGCGAAAUGCGAUACGUAAUGUGAAUUGCAAAUUCAGUGAAUCAUCGAGUCUUUGAACGCACAUUGCGCCCCCUGGUAUUCCGGGGGGCAUGCCUGUCCGAGCGUCAUUGCUGCCCUCAAGCACGGCUUGUGUGUUGGGCCCCGUCCUCCGAUCCCGGGGGACGGGCCCGAAAGGCAGCGGCGGCACCGCGUCCGGUCCUCGAGCGUAUGGGGCUUUGUCACCCGCUCUGUAGGCCCGGCCGGCGCUUGCCGAUCAACCCAAAUUUUUAUCCAGGUUGACCUCGGAUCAGGUAGGGAUACCCGCUGAACUUAAGCAUAUCAGCGGAGGA